rnacentral:rRNA from 1 species
AUUGAACGCUGGCGGCAGGCCUAACACAUGCAAGUCGAACGAGUGGCGGACGGGUGAGUAAUGUCUGGGAAACUCCCCGAUGGAGGGGGAUACCUACUGGAAACGUUAGCUAUUACCGCAUACCUUCGGAUGGGCCCUGAUGGGAUUAGCCAGUAGGUGGGGUAAAGGCUCACCUAGCCGCCGAUCCCUAGCUGGUCUGAGAGGAUGACCAGCCACACGGGAACUGAGACACGGUCCAGACUCCUACGGGAGGCAGCAGUAGGGAAUAUUGCACAAUGGGCGAAAGCCUGAUGCAGCCAUGCCGCGUGUAUGAAGAAGGCCUUCGGGUUGUAAAGUACUUUCAGCGAGGAGGCGUUACUCGCAGAAGAAGCACCGGCUAACUACGUGCCAGCAGCCGCGGUAAUAC